rnacentral:rRNA from 1 species
CGGCGGACGGGUGAGUAACACGUGGAUAACCUACCUAUAAGACUUGGAUAACUUCGGGAAACCGGAGCUAAUACCGGAUAAUAUAUUGAACCGCAUGGUUCAAUAGUGAAAGACGGUUUUGCUGUCACUUAUAGAUGGAUCCGCGCCGCAUUAGCUAGUUGGUAAGGUAACGGCUUACCAAGGCAACGAUGCGUAGCCGACCUGAGAGGGUGAUCGGCCACACUGGAACUGAGACACGGUCCAGACUCCUACGGGAGGCAGCAGGG